rnacentral:rRNA from 1 species
GACGAACGCUGGCGGCGUGCUUAACACAUGCAAGUCGAACGAAGUGGCGAACGGGUGAGUAACGCGUAAUUAACCUGCCCUUCAGAGGGGGACAACAGUUGGAAACGACUGCUAAUACCGCAUACUGAAGGAGGGGAUUGCGUCUGAUUAGUUAGUUGGGGGGGUAAAGGCCUACCAAGGCGACGAUCCGUAACUGGUCUGAGAGGAUGAUCAGUCACACUGAAACGGGGACACGGUCCAGACGCCUACGGGAGGCAGCAGUGGGAAAUAUUGGACAAUGGGUGAAAGACUGAUGCAGCGACGCCGCGUGGGGGAUGAAGGCUUUCGGGUUGUAAACCUCUUUCGGUAUAGAACGGGUAGGUGGAGAAGAAGCGCCGGCUAACUACGUGCCAGCAGCCGCGGUAAUUC